rnacentral:rRNA from 1 species
UACGGGGGGAGCAAGCGUUGUUCGGAUUUACUGGGCGUAAAGGGCGCGUAGGCGGUCAGCACAAGUCAGUUGUGAAAUCUCCGGGCUUAACUCGGAAAGGUCAACUGAUACUGUGCGACUAGAGUGCGGAAGGGGCAACUGGAAUCUCGGUGUAGCGGUGAAAUGCGUAGAUAUCGAGAGGAACACCUGCGGCGAAGGCGGGUUGCUGGGCCGACACUGACGCUGAUGCGCGAAAGCCAGGGGAGCGAACGGG